rnacentral:rRNA from 1 species
AGCGGGCGAAGUUAGAAGAGACUAGAAAUGGUCGCUGGCCUUUGGAGACGAAGGCAUGUGCACGUCUCGAAAUCUUCCUAGUCCUCGUUCUCUUUCCUCUUUAGCGAACCUCUUCAACACCUGUGCACCUUUUGUAGGUCCCCGCGAGGGGAUCUAUGUAUUCGUUCAUUCCUAAUUAUCGUAUGGCCAGAACGUAUCUAAUGCGUCGAUCGGCGUGGCUAAUGCUUCGUCGGCGACGGUAAAUCGUAAUACAACUUUCAGCAACGGAUCUCUUGGCUCUCGCAUCGAUGAAGAACGCAGCGAAUUGCGAUAAGUAAUGUGAAUUGCAGAUUUUCAGUGAAUCAUCGAAUCUUUGAACGCACCUUGCGCUCCUUGGUAUUCCGAGGAGCAUGCCUGUUUGAGUGUCAUUUAAUUCUCAACCAUGCCUCGAUUGAUUUCGAGACCCAUGGCUUGGAUUUUGGGUGUUGCCGGAGACCCUUUCUUGGGUCUUGGGCUCUCCUUAAAAGCAUUAGCAACGGCGGGCGAGUCCCUGCAUGCACGGCCUUCGACGUGAUAAUGAUCGUCGUGGCUGGAGUGCAGAGGGCGUUGCGAAUCGUCGGUGCUUCUAAAUCGUGACUUUCGCUUUGGCGGAAGAACUCUUUGAAAUUUGACCUCAAAUCAGGUAGGACUACCCGCUGAACUUAAGCAUAUCAAUAAGCGGAGAAAAGAAACUAACAAGGAUUCCCCUAGUAACUGCGAGUGAAGAGGGAAGAGCUCAAUUUUUGAAUCUGGCGGUCUCUGGCCGUCCGAGUUGUAAUCUA